AUGAAGACUCUAACAGAGAAGCUGGAGCUCAGUGAGUCAGAGAGAGACAGUCUGCUGUGUGAGGAGGAAGCCAGCUGUCAGAGAGUGACGCGUCUCAGUGAGGAGAGGGAUCAGCUGCAGGAGACACUGCAGCAGCUCCGAGCAGAGCUGGAGGACAAGAUAGAGACGAUGAAGACUCUAACAGAGAAGCUGGAGCUCAGUGAGUCAGAGAGAGACAGUCUGCUGUGUGAGGAGGAAGCCAGCUGUCAGAGAGUGACGUGUCUCAGUGAGGAGAGGGAUCAGCUGCAGGGGACACUGCAGCAGCUCCGAGCAGAGCUGGAGACACUGCACACUGAGAUGAAGACUCUAACAGAGAAGCUGGAGCUCAGUGAGUCAGAGAGAGACCGUCUGCUGUGUGAGGAGGAAGCCAGCUGUCAGAGAGUGACGUGUCUCAGUGAGGAGAGGGAUCAGCUGCAGGAGACACUGCUGCAGCUCAGAGCAGAGCUGGAGACACUGCAGACUGAGGCCUCUACAACACAAGAGCUUCUACAGUCAGUCCAAGAGGAGCUGUGUGAACAGCAGCAGCUGAACUCUGACCUGCAGAGACUGAAUGAGGAGAAGGAGAGUUCUCUAGAUCAACAGAUAAAGACUCUAACAGAGAAGCUGGAGAUCAUUGAGUCAGAGAGAGACGGUCUGCUGUGCGAGGAGGAAGCCAGCUGUCAGAGAGUGACAUGUGUCAGCGAGGAGAGGGAUGAGCUGCAGGAGACACUGCUGCAGCUCAGAGCAGAGCUGGAGGACAAGAUGGAGACGAUCUCUGCCAUUCAAGAGAAACUGAGGGAACAGCAGCAGCAACCUGAGAGAGUAGAACAAGAGGCCAAGCUGCAACAGGAAUUGCUCAGUGAAGCCAACACGACCAUCUCAGCCCUCAGAGAGCAGCUGAGCAAUUUGGGACGGCGGCUUCGCCUCAUCGCGGCUGCUCCGCUCCACUGAGCAGCUGCAGGAGACCUUCGUAGGGUUCCAGCAACUUAUAGACACUUGUU
rnacentral:lncRNA from 1 species